rnacentral:rRNA from 1 species
AGAGUAUGAUACCGGCUCAGGACGAACGCUGGCGGCGUGGAUUAGGCAUGCAAGUCGAACGAGAAUCUUAACUUCGGUUAUGAAGAGAGUGGCGAAAGGGUGAGUAACGCGUAGGUAAUUUGCCCUUGAGACAGGAAUAACAUCCCGAAAGGGUUGCUAAUACCUGAUAACAUCUAUUAACCCUCGGGUUUUUGGAUCAAAUGAAGGCUCUGCUUUCGCUCAAGGAGAAACCUGCGUCCUAUUAGCUUGUUGGUAGGGUAAUGGCCUACCAAGGCGAUGAUGGGUAGCUGGUCUGAGAGGAUGGUCAGCCACAUUGGGACUGAGACACUGCCCAAACUCCUACGGGAGGCUGCAGUCGAGAAUAUUUCGCAAUGGGGGAAACCCUGACGAUGCGACGCCGCGUGGGGGAUGAAGGUCUUCGGAUUGUAAACUCCUGUUCUACAAGAAGAACGGGCAGUUAGUGAUAAGCUAACUGCAUUGACUGUAUUGUAGCAGCAAGCCCCAGCUAACUACGUGCCAGCAGCUGCGGUAAUACGUAGGGGGCAAGCGUUGUCCGGAAUUACUGGGCGUAAAGCGCACGCAGGCGGCCAUAUAAGUCGGGUAUGAAAUUGCUUGGCUUAACCAAGCAACUGUAUUCGAUACUGUGUGGCUUGAGUACGAGAGGGGAAAGUGGAAUGUACAGUGUAGCGGUGAAAUGCGUAGAGAUUGUACAGAACACCGGUAGCGAAGGCAGCUUUCUGGCUCGAUACUGACGCUGAGGUGCGAAAGUCUGGGUAGCGAACGGGAUUAGAUACCCCGGUAGUCCAGACCGUAAACGAUGGGUACUAAGUGUAGGGGAUACGACUCUUCUGUGCUGUAGCUAACGCAUUAAGUACCCCGCCUGGGGAGUACGGCCGCAAGGUUAAAACUCAAGGUAAUUGACGGGGGGCCGCACAAGCGGUGGAGCAUGUCGCUUAAUUCGAAGCAACGCGAAGAACCUUAUCCAGGGCUUGACAUCCUUUGACA